UAAGCGUGAAGCCCCCCCUCAAGAUGAGAUUUCCCAUUUCUUUAAGAAAGUAAGAUCCCUGAAAGAUGAUCAGGUAGAUAGGUUUGGAGUGGAAGUAUGGCGACAUAUGGAGCGGACAAAUACUAAUCGAUCGAGGACUUAACCUU
rnacentral:ncRNA from 1 species